rnacentral:tRNA from 1 species
AGAUGUAGCUCAUGGAGAGCAUCGGGGAUGAAACCCCGAAGGCACCGGUUCGAUUCCGGACGUCU